rnacentral:lncRNA from 1 species
AAACUCAUGUUUCUCUCAAAUCCCUCCCAAUCAAGCUCUCCUAAAAAUUUACACAGAAAAUUCUCUCCCCCUUCUCUUUCAAGCUGAGCGGAGCAGCUAGGGCUCCGCCGCCGCGGUCGCCGAAGUUCCGGGGAGGAGCGCCGGCCUCGCCCGCUUUAAUUCCUCCGCCUGAAACCCUAGGGCCCAGAUCUAAACUCCACCCUCUUCGACCUAAAAUUCUAACUUCCUUCCAAAUCGUCUGCUCUCCACCCCGUCAAAUUGUCUCUCUCAAACCAGUGAAGAAAACGCAAGAGAAAAUCCUAACUUUCUUCCAAAUCGGAAUCCUCACUGCAGCGGUUGAUGCCGCCGCCGACGAGCAGUUGUUGCUUCCGAUUCUGGCGCCGCAUCUACUUUCUCGGACCCUCUCUCUCGAUUCACCUCUCUCAAUCAAAGAAAUCAACUGAAACAGGAAGGAGGAAGCCUAAUUUCGCCACCCCUGUCAUCUGCUAUCCCUAGGCGCCGCUACUGCACCGCCUGCCACGUCGCGCCGC